GGGGACGACUUGGCUUCGACGUGGGUCGCGAAACCUGAGGUGCAUGUCGAGAAUGUAGAAAAUCUCGUAAAAUCUUCUGCAAAUUAUAGUUGCAAACGACGACAACUACGCACUCGCCGCUUAAUAACCGGUAGAAUGCUGUCGGACUGGAGCCGUGUCUAUGCGUCCAGGUUCUCUCGGGAACAAUCCGGCAUCGCUCUCAUAGAAUCGUGAUGGAUGCUCGUUCGGGGUUGAAGCACUAAACAAGCACCGAAAUCGCUGUCUGUAUUCCCCGUUCGGCGGGUAGCAGCCGGUUAAAUUAAAAGUCGAAAUAAGCAUGUAGAGCCAAUGGCAGAGGGCUUGCGGACGCGGGUUCGAUUCCCGCCGUCUCCACCA
rnacentral:tmRNA from 1 species